CAGUCAGAGGCGAUGAAGGGCGUACUAAUCUGCGAUAAGCGCCGGUAAGGUGAUAUGAACCGUUAUAACCGGCGAUACCCGAAUGGGGAAACCCAGUGUGAUUCGUCACACUAUCAUUAACUGAAUCCAUAGGUUAAUGAGGCGAACCGGGGGAACUGAAACAUCUAAGUACCCCGAGGAAAAGAAAUCAACCGAGAUUCCCCCAGUAGCGGCGAGCGAACGGGGAGGAGCCCAGAGCCUGAAUCAGCAUGUGUGUUAGUGGAAGCGUCUGGAAAGGCGCGCGAUACAGGGUGACAGCCCCGUACACAAAAGCGCAUGUGCUGUGAGCUCGAUGAGUAGGGCGGGACACGUGGUAUCCUGUCUGAAUAUGGGGGGACCAUCCUCCAAGGCUAAAUACUCCUGACUGACCGAUAGUGAACCAGUACCGUGAGGGAAAGGCGAAAAGAACCCCGGCGAGGGGAGUGAAAAAGAACCUGAAACCGUGU
rnacentral:rRNA from 1 species